CCAGCCGUUCAUUUUUGUGUCCAC
rnacentral:miRNA from 1 species